UACGGGGGGGGGCAAGCGUUGUUCGGAAUUACUGGGCGUAAAGCGCGCGUAGGCGGCUUUGUAAGUUAGAGGUGAAAGCCCGGGGCUCAACCCCGGAACUGCCUUUAAGACUGCAUCGCUUGAAUCCGGGAGAGGUGAGUGGAAUUCCGAGUGUAGAGGUGAAAUUCGUAGAUAUUCGCAAGAACACCAGUGGCGAAGGCGGCUCACUGGCCCGGUACUGACGCUGAGGUGCGAAAGCGUGGGGAGCAAACAGG
rnacentral:rRNA from 1 species